rnacentral:rRNA from 1 species
UGGGGAAUAUUGGACAAUGGACCGAGAGUCUGAUCCAGCAAUUCUGUGUGCACGAUGAAGUUUUUCGGAAUGUAAAGUGCUUUCAGUUGGGAAGAAAGAAAUGACGGUACCAACAGAAGAAGUGACGGCUAAAUACGUGCCAGCAGCCGCGGUAAUACGUAUGUCACGAGCGUUAUCCGGAUUUAUUGGGCGUAAAGCGCGUCUAGGUGGUUAUAUAAGUCUGAUGUGAAAAUGCAGGGCUCAACUCUGUAUUGCGUUGGAAACUGUAUAACUAGAGUACUGGAGAGGUAAGCGGAACUACAAGUGUAGAGGUGAAAUUCGUAGAUAUUUGUAGGAAUGCCGAUGGGGAAGCCAGCUUACUGGACAGAUACUGACGCUGAAGCGCGAAAGCGUGGGUAGCAAACAGGAUUAGAUACCCUGGUAGUCCACGCUGCAAACGAUGAUUACUAGGUGUUGGGGGUCGAACCUCAGCGCCCAAGCAAACGCGAUAAGUAAUCCGCCUGGGGAGUACGUACGCAAGUAUG